GACGAACGCUGGCGGCGUGCCUAAUACAUGCAAGUCGAGCGAAGUUUUUCUGGUGCUUGCACUAGAAAAACUUAGCGGCGAACGGGUGAGUAACACGUAAAGAACCUGCCUCAUAGACGGGGACAACUAUUGGAAACGAUAGCUAAUACCGGAUAACAGCAUAAAUCGCAUGAUAUAUGUUUAAAAGUUGGUUUCGGCUAACACUAUGAGAUGGCUUUGCGGUGCAUUAGCUAGUUGGUGGGGUAAAGGCCUACCAAGGCGACGAUGCAUAGCCGACCUGAGAGGGUGAUCGGCCACACUGGGACUGAGACACGGCCCAGACUCCUACGGGAGGCAGCAGUAGGGAAUCUUCCGCAAUGGGCGAAAGCCUGACGGAGCAACGCCGCGUGAGUGAAGAAGGAUUUCGGUUCGUAAAGCUCUGUUGUUAGGGAAGAAUGAUUGUAUAGUAACUAUAUACAGUAGAGACGGUACCUAACCAG
rnacentral:rRNA from 1 species